UGGGUGAUAGCGUGCCUUUUGUAGAAUGAACCGGCGACUUACGAUACCAUGCAAGGUUAAGGUGGAAAGACCGGAGCCGUAGCGAAAGCGAGUCUGAAAUGGGCGAAUUAGUAUGUUGUUGUAGACCCGAAACCAGGUGACCUACCCAUGUCCAGGGUGAAGGUGCGGUAAAACGCACUGGAGGCCCGAACCCGUGCAUGUUGAAAAAUGCUGGGAUGAGGUGUGGGUAGCGGUGAAAUUCCAAUCGAACUUGGAGAUAGCUGGUUCUCUCCGAAAUAGCUUUAGGGCUAGCCUCGGAAUGUAGCGUGUUGGAGGUAGAGCACUGUUUUGGUGCGGGGCCCAUCUCGGGUUACCAAAUUAAGAUAAACUCCGAAUGCCAAUCACGUAUGUCCGGGAGUCAGACAGUGAGUGAUAAGAUCCAUUGUCGAAAGGGGAACAGCCCAGAUCGUCAGUUAAGGUCCCUAAGUGUGUGUUAAGUGGAAAAGGAUGUGGAGUUGCAUAGACAACUAGGAUGUUG
rnacentral:rRNA from 1 species